GUGAAUCAUCAAAUCUUUGAACGCAAAUUGCACUCUCUUCGGAGAGUAUGCCUGUUUGAGGGUCAGUAUUAAUAAAAAUCGGUGUGUUGCUUCUUUGUACGCUCCGGGGGUUUGGGUAUUUUUAUAACCUUUUGGGUUUUAGAAGGCUAAAAUUUGCUUUUUUUUCGCCUUUUAAGUUUACAUAAAUUUUUUUUUUUUUUCCUUUUGCUUUAU
rnacentral:misc_RNA from 1 species